CUGGAAAGGUUGGUGACUGGAAGAACCUCUUGACCGAAGAGAUGGCGAAGAAGCUGGAUGACAUUGUCGAGGAGAAGAUUAAAGGAUUUGGUGCAGUUUCGGCGGGAGAAGGGAGCAGUGGAGUUUCAUUUGACACCGUUAGGAAAUCAGGAGGCUGGGGUGAUAUAACCAAGAUGUUUUCAUUCUGACGAUACCAUGCCGGGGAGCAACAAGACCAUGCCAGGGAGCUGCGCGCGUGACGUCCUCUCCGGCCGGGGCAGGUGUGGUCGCCGGAAGCCGCUGCGCUUGUGUAGUAUCACCGCGUGGAGCAGCAGGAGGCCAGCAUGCCACAUACUUUUACAUCUCCAAUUUCUUGCUUUUUAUUGUUGUUCGUUCGGUUCUUCUAUUACCAAAGGUAAUGGAUUCUUUGUCAACCGUGCCUUCCCAUCACUAGGAUUUUAAUAUCUUGUUCUGGUUUCUCUUUGAUGUUAUUUGAUUGUAUCUAGCUCAACCAGUAGAGCUGCACGUUACUUGUUCGAUGAAAUGGCAGGUACAAGUUGUGUCUCCAAAUUUGAUUAAUGACUGCAGUUUGAUGUCUCCAAAUGGCACAGCAGGUCAACAUGGGCCUGGCAUGGCCUUUAUCGAAGCUCCAGAAUCAUGCAUUGACACUCUGUCAAGGGGCUGAGAAUGGUGGAUGGGGUCUUCCAGGCUGACCGUGACCUGACUAAAACGGCCACCAGCCACCAUUGCUGGAGCUUCUCAUCGAGCUGGAUGGAUGUGACAGUGCAGCACCAAUGGCUCAGAUGGUAUCCAAUUUUGCUCUUUUGUUCAUCAUUUAAAAUUUAGAACUCACUAUAAUUCCAUUUGUCCAUUAAUUUUGCCUUUUAGCCUAGAUUUUUAUCUUGUAGGCUUGUAGCUCUAGAUUAGAAUUACGUUAAGCGGAGAGAUAGAAAAGCUUUUCCAGUUCAAACUAAAUUGCAAAAUAUGCUUGUAAAAAAGUCUCUAUGAUAGCAUCUUUUUUAAUGGUGAACAUAGCUCAGUUUCUAUAAUAUUUGCAUAGGCCAGACUGCUUGGCUGAUUAAACCUCCAAGGGUUAUAUAGCAGUGUUUUGCGAUUAAAUUUGUUUGCGCUAUCACAACCGGCGUAGUUAAUUCUAUCAGUCAUGAGAAAAUAUCAUGUUCGAUCAAGUUGACUUGCACUUGUUCGAUGGAAUGCCCGUGAGAGUGUUUUCUUUGGUAUACUGCAGGUUUGUUCUUUACUUCCUUCUCUGAGCUUGAAACACCGACCAAUAUUACAUGAUUUUGUUGUCUGCAGAAGUAUUUAAUUUGAUGCCACUGUUUGAGCUUAUGAAAAAGUUGCUUACUAGAGUUGGCAUAAUCAUAUCCUCGCAAUUGCUCUUGUUAACUUCGUAAUUGGUUUAGAAGUCUUGCAGUGGGCAUUUGGAUUUUUUGUUUGCUUGCCAUCGUUAAUUUUUAUUCUUUUGAUUCAUGUUCUGCUUGUCGAUUGACUUUCUUUCUCUCGCUAUCGGAUUUGAUUUGUUAAUGUCGAAUACUACUAUUUAACUUGCUGAGGUUUCCGGCUGGUGACCU